rnacentral:rRNA from 1 species
UACGUAGGGUGCAAGCGUUGUCCGGAAUUAUUGGGCGUAAAGAGCUCGUAGGCGGUCUGUUGCGUCCGCUGUGAAAACUCGGGGCUUAACCCCGAGCCUGCAGUGGAUACGGGCAGACUAGAGUUCGGUAGGGGAGAUCGGAAUUCCUGGUGUAGCGGUGAAAUGCGCAGAUAUCAGGAGGAACACCGGUGGCGAAGGCGGAUCUCUGGGCCGAUACUGACGCUGAGGAGCGAAAGCGUGGGGAGCGAACAGG